rnacentral:SRP_RNA from 1 species
GCCGGGCAUGGUGGUGUGUGCCUGUAGUUCCAGCUACUUGGGAGGCUGAGGUGGGAGGAUCGCUUGAGCCCAGGAGUUCUGGGCUGUAGUGCGCUAUGCUGAUUGGGUGUCUGCACUAAGUUCGGCAUCAAUAUGGUGACCUCCCAGGAGCAGGGGACCACCAGGUUGCCUAAGGAGGGGUGAACCGGCCCAGGUUGGAAACAGAGCAGGUCAAAACUCCUGUGCUGAUCAGUAGUGGGAUCGCGCCUGUGAAUAACCACCGCACUCCAGCCUGGGCAACAUAGUGAGACCCUCUCUCUA